AAUCUGCCUAUGGUGAAACUGGAGCCAAACCACCGACCAAUCGGCCGGAAAACCUCGCCGAAGUCCGACGGCGCUGCCGCGACUUCCCUCUGUUUUUGCCUUCGAUGAGGCCCUUCCCGAUCUCCGUUCGAUGCAAAUUUUAUACCACUCUGAUCACCGUUUUUUUCUCUACAGGUUGAUCGGAGCCAAACAUUAAAAUACGACUCACGCCGGAGGAACCGCCGCACCCGAGAGCACCGCUGCUGGUAAGUCUCAGUUUUUUGUAUUUUUUGGCCCACCGAGGGCCCUAGGGUUGUUUUAUCGCAUGAACCAAUUCAAGUUUGGCCGAAUUCGGCCGAAAACGGCCAACCCAAGGCGGAUCGCCGCUGCAGGCGGCGGCACCGUCGACGGAGCACGGCGGAACCGCCGUGCCGAAAUUUUGAUAUUGGUCGAAAGGGGCCCUAGGUCUGAUUUGGGAUUUUUUGGGACACGUGCAGGUACCAGUAAUGCGUUUCAGUUUUUCAGAAAAAAUUCAGAGAAAUUAGGGACAGCCCGUAGACGCACUAUAGAGCCAAUU
rnacentral:lncRNA from 1 species